rnacentral:piRNA from 1 species
UGAGAUAAGUGGGAGAAUCCAGAGG